rnacentral:tRNA from 1 species
AUUAGCUCAGCUGGUUAGAGCGUCCCGAAUGCUUUCGGGAAGGUCAUCGGUUCGACUCCGAUAUUCUCCA